GUUAUUUUGCUCUAUGUUGUCCAUAACAUAGAUUUUCCAGUUGGAGAACUUCAUCAGAUAAUAAGAAAAAAGAAGCUCACAUCUAUAUGUCAGGCACAGGAGUGUGCCUGAAGUUCAGUUACCUAGGAGGCUAAAGAAAAGGAGUUACUUGAGCCCAAGAUGUUGAAACCAGUUACGAUGUAAUGUGACCCUGUGUCAAAAGAAACAAAACAAAGAUAGAAAUAUCAGUUCUCUCUUCAAUUAACUGGCUUGCAUUUAGGUGAAACAAAAGUGACUUUAUACUGGAAAACCUGAAAGACACGGUCUGCUGGUGGUCAUUACUGAGGCCAUAGAGAGUACAUGUUCCCUUGAUGGAAUAUUAGUGAUGUCCAAGCACUUGAUGGGACAUAGUGAGUACAUCCUCCCUUGAUGGGACAUCACUGAGGACAUAGUGAGUACAUCCUCCCUUGAUGGGACAUCACUGAGGACAUAGUGAGUACAUCCUCCCUUGGUGGGACAUCACUGAGGACAUAGUGAGUACAUCCUCCCUUGAUGGGACAUCACUGAGGACAUUGUGAGUACAUCCUCCCUUGAUGGGACAUCACUGAGGACAUAGUGAGUACUUCCUCCCUUGAUGGGACAUCACUGAGGACAUAGUGAGUACUUCCUCCCUUGAUGGGACAUCACUGAGGACAUAGUGAGUACAUCCUCCCUUGAUGGGAUAAAAU
rnacentral:lncRNA from 1 species